CGGGACAGUGGCCAGGAGCUGGGGAGGAGGGGAGGCAGUGAGGAUCUUGGCGAGACGCGUCACGCCAGACGGAAAGUGCCUAUACGGGUUGUGUACCUGCCGAUUGGUCUGCCGACCUGAGACAACCAAUCAGACGACAGAUAGAUGAACGAGGCCAUAUUGCUACUAAACAAGAGGAUGGCUCUUUAUCAGUUGACAGACACAACUACAUGGGGAAACAAAGACCAGUUAUAAUGUUGUCAAGUUUUUUUUUUUUUUUUAAAUCAGAACAAGACUGUGAUGUUACUGUACAUUCCAAACAAACAACAAAAAAGAAAUAUACAUGUUGAAAUGUCUGUUUGAAGUUAUAAGGAUGGAAAUGAUUUUGAUUCCUUUUUUUUAGUCUUUUUUUUAUGGGUGUUACAUGUCAUGAAGAUCAGCUAAAGGUCCACUUCAGGUCCAGGUUAGGUUUCAAUGUCAUAGGGAGUUCAAUCCUUGCGUUCAAAGUAACAGUACAGGCAAAGAAGACACUGAUAGGCCCGAAUCCUAACUUAAACCCAUAGUUUCUUCCAGGGUCUAUAAUAACAGUCUAUCAUUUAGAAGGUACAACAUGGCAUUCAUAAGUCAAGGUCUGACUUCUACUCAGAUGUGCUUAUAGAGACGAGUGAGGUGCUGAAGCUGGAGUUUAUCUUUGUGCCAACAGGUUACAUGAAUCUAGAAUACUGUGGUGCAGAUUACAGAGUUUAUAUUUUAUACAGAGGUUUAUUUCAGCAAUCUGUUCGAUAAAACUUACACAACGUAUACAUUUGUCAGUUUUAUCUUUCAGGAAAGACUGUAUUACAGGUUUAGUUCAAAAAGCAAAAGACAAAUACACCAUUUAUACUGUUGUAAUCACACCAAUGCAAAACUCUCAGAUUUUAUUUAAAUACCGACCUCUCUGUUUGAAUUAUCUCCUGCGUACAUUUCAGGCAAGUAAAAUUACGUUGAUUGCAAUUUUCAUCCUCCUCCGUGACUAUUUGACUGUAGUUUAUUAGGAAGGGGUGUGUUGAACCUUUCUAGGCGAUGGUGAUGAAUGUAUUUGUGUGUUUUCUAUGGUAUGUCUAUACCCGUCAAGUGCUUGUUAUAGGUUGUACUCGAGGUGGAACUCGACCCGAUUUGUUUAAAACUAAAAAAGGGGGAAAUAAAGACAUCAACAUUGAGGAACAUCAUUUAUUUUGGGAGAGGUAGUCUUCUCUUUUCUGAUUAGUAGUCAAGUCCAAGUUCAGUUUGAUGUAUUUUUGGAAAAAUUACAUUUGUACAUGUAUACUCUACGUUGACACCUAAUAUGUAACAUGAAUAAUAAAAAAAACAAAAAUUCACCUCA